GCGCCUGUAGCUCAGUAGGACAGAGCACGGGAUUCCUAAUCCCGGGGCCGCAGGUUCAAUUCCUGCCAGGCGCA
rnacentral:tRNA from 1 species